rnacentral:rRNA from 1 species
UACGUAGGGUGCAAGCGUUGUCCGGAAUUAUUGGGCGUAAAGAGCUCGUAGGCGGUCUGUCGCGUCUGCUGUGAAAACUCAGGGCUUAACCCUGAGCUUGCAGUGGGUACGGGCAGACUAGAGUGCGGUAGGGGAGACUGGAAUUCCUGGUGUAGCGGUGAAAUGCGCAGAUAUCAGGAGGAACACCGGUGGCGAAGGCGGGAUCCUGGGCCAGUACUGACGCUGAGGAGCGAAAGCGUGGGGAGCAAACAGG